ensembl:lncRNA
CCUGUCUCAAAAAACCAAAAGUUAUAAAAUUUUAAAAAAUAAGAAAAAAAACAUAUAUAAUUAAAACAAGGCCACAUGAACUUUUGUUUUUGGCUGAGAUACAAUGAUGAGUGGCCCUAACAUAAGCUACUUUACUGAGAUAUACUGAAAUUAACUUUUGAGCCCAAGCUUUAAAAAACUAGACAAACAGAUUCUGACGCCCACCUCUUAGUUAUUAGUGGCCUGGGCAAUUACUUAGGCUUUGUUUUUCUCUGUUAAUUGCUCUCCACUUAAUUUGAAGAUAGAAAGCACCUAGCAGUGCCUCAUAUGUAACAGCCAUUCAUCUGGUGAUAGCCCCUCCCCUACGGUUCCACCCUUCCUUUUUCACUGAAUAUUAUGAAAUUAUAAUUUCAUCUGUUUCACCCUAUUAUUUCACUGAAACGUAUUAAGUAUAGUGUGGCUUUUCUUAGGGCGACAUAAAGAAACAUCUAUUCACCACAGCUAGGGUACCAGCAGUCCAGAUCAAAAAAAAAAAAAAAUAGAUUAUUCCACCCAAGUUCAGCUUGGUGGACCAGUAGUUUCUUGGCAUUGCUUACAAGAGUAUGGCCAACUCAAAGGCCGCUGCCAAAAGCCACCAAAAAACACCCUACACUAGUAUGUCCGUGGGUCACAAAAGCUCAUUGCCAUGGCAACAAUUUCACAUCAUCAACCUUCUACCUCUUCUGUAGCAACUCCCCCAGCAUGCAGCUGAGGGCCAAUGGCAAGCAGCGAGUAAAAGAUACUCCACAGGUCACCCACAACUCUUCUCCACGAAGGCCUCUGGUCACACCAUGUCUGGAGGAACUAGCUCUAGUACAGCAAGUAUACGAAGAGCGAAGAGCGGCUCACGGAAGAAGCUUAGUCUACAGGCCUGGGAGAUGUUUCCAUCCCAGCAGAAUAAGAUGGUGGGAUUCCCUUUCUUCACGAAGAGGAAUGACAGGAUGUGAAGGAAGAAAAACGGCUCAAGGACCACAGCCAGCCAAGCAAACCCUACUACGUGGUGCAAAAUGGAAAUGUGAGGCACUUGUUAUAUAUACUUUUAAACCCCAAGAGGAUGAUAACCUAGCACUAAACAGAACCUGGAGGUGCUCCGUGUGCUGUGAAUGUGUAACGCCACAGGUUACACCCUUGGGAAGCCAGCCCUGAGCUGGGGCCAGGGUGAAACUGGUAUUCUAAAUCAUUCUGUCUGAGACUUUUGGCUUUCCCAGGACAGCUCAUGAUACUAGAAGUGUGUGUGUGUGGGGGGGUGUGUGUGUGGGGGGUGUUCCUGUUUUUGAUAGCGGGGUGGGGAGUCAGAUAAACCUCAAGAAGAGAUGAUGUACUCCAGGCCUUUUAGUCCCAUGUAACACUUGGAUGCAUUUGUCGUACUCAGCUCCACUUUCAGCUAUGUAACGGGAAAGGAUGGCCACUUAUUCGUUCCAAUAUUCACUUUGUUGGCAAGCCUCUGCAAAACAUCGGCUACAUGGCAGGCACUGUGCUAGGCCCAGUAAGACAGUGGUGUUGGCAAGUGGCAUAGUUCUGCUUUCCUGGGUCCAAUCCCAGGCAUAAAGAUGCAGGCUUGUAAUCCUCUUCACUGCCAAGGUUCUAUAAUCUUAGUUCUGAAGUCAAGGAGUCAGGUUGAGACAGCUUUAGGAAAUGCGUAGAAUAUUAUGUCUGAAGCUCAUUGGAAUUGCUCUCUGUCAAGCCUGGUUUCUAACUCAGGUCCUAGGGUGGGUCCACUGCAAAUUAAGCCAGUCAUAAAUUGCAUCCUUCCACCAGCCCUAGAUUAUUACUUAGCAAACAGAUAGAUAAUAUCUCUUUUUAAAAGUGGUGUGAAGAAGAAUUGAUGAGGAAACAAGGUCAAUCUGGGGUGCCCACCUCUACCUGGACACACAGCUCUACAGAAGCAUUGAUGAUCAACAGCCGGCAGGCAAGAAGGUCACAAUUAUGCUGAGCACACGUCGGAAUGCAGCACAGUUCGCUCUGUGUGUUUCCAUGGUGACAGUGAUAACAGCUUAUAUUUAUAGAGCUUCUAUCUCCAAGGAGCUCAAAGCACUUUACAGACUUACUGUUUCUCUGAUUUAGGGAGAAAGAAGAAGAGGAAGAAGGAGAAGAAGAGAAGGAAGAAGAGGAGGAGGAAGAGAAGACAGAAGGGAUAGAGAGAGAG